GAUGAACGCUAGCUACAGGCUUAACACAUGCAAGUCGAGGGGAAACGAUGAGAGAGCUUGCUCUCUUAGUCGUCGACCGGCGCACGGGUGAGUAACGCGUAUCCAACCUGCCUCUGACCAAGGGAUAACCCGUCGAAAGUCGGACUAAUACCUUAUGCAUUCGUCUGAAGUCAUCUGAUGACGACGAAAGAUUUCAUCGGUGAGAGAUGGGGAUGCGUCUGAUUAGCUUGUUGGCGGGGUAACGGCCCACCAAGGCGACGAUCAGUAGGGGUUCUGAGAGGAACGUCCCCCACAUUGGAACUGAGACACGGUCCAAAGUCCUACGGGAGGCAGCAGUGAGGAAUAUUGGUCAAUGGGCGUAAGCCUGAAACAGCCAAGUAGCGUGCAGGAUGACGGCCCUAUGGGUUGUAAACUGCUUUUAUGCGGGGAUAAAGUGAGGGACGUGUCCUUCAUUGCAGGUACCGCAUGAAUAAGGACCGGCUAAUUCCGUG
rnacentral:rRNA from 1 species